AAUUAGUUUUUUUAUUGAAAAAUAGAAUGAAAGAGUAUAUUAAAUUAAUAUUUUCUUUUUUAUUUUAUUAGAAUUUUUAUUUUUAGUGAAAAUACUUAAAGUAGUUUAUUAGACAAAAAGACCCUAUGAAGCUGAAAAUAUGAAAUUUAUUAUUAUAAGAUAAUAAUUUAUUAUUUGGGGAAAAUAAUAAUAAUUUUAUUAAGUAGUUAUUUUUUUUAAAGAUCCUAUUUUAGGAAUUAUGAAUUAGCUCCUCUAGGGAUAACAGCAUAAUAACUAUAAAAGUUCUUAUUAAAAUAGUUGU
rnacentral:rRNA from 1 species